GCCUGGGUGGCUCAGUCGGUUAAGCGUCCGACUUCAACUCAGGUCACUAUCUCACGGUCUGUGAGUUCGAGCCCCACAUCGGGCU
rnacentral:tRNA from 1 species